UCUUAGCCCUUGUUAGGAAAAUGCUGGAUCCAAGAGUAGCUGCGCCCUUCUUUGCUUCAGUUGAACAAGCACCAGAGUCGCUGAUUUGGCAGUGUUGGAGCGAGAGGAACUGGCCUUAAAAAGCCAAUCGACUGAAGACGAAAUAGAACAAAAAGGCUGACCUCCCAGGAGUAACAGGGAGCUCCUACAGCCAAACAGCUUGAGUUGGAACACUUUUCCAGCCUUGGGCUCAGACUGGGACUACACAUCAGUUUGCCUGCCUCUCCAGCUUGUCAACUGCAGAUCCUGAGACUUCUCAGCCUUCCUAAUUGUAUGGGCAAAUUCCUUAUAAUAAAUCUUUUAUACACACACUC